GAGUUUGAUCCUGGCUCAGGACUAACGCUGGCGGCGUGCCUAACACAUGCAAGUCGUGCGGGACACAGUGUAGCAAUAUGUUGUGUCUAGCGGCAGACGGGUGAGUAACGCGUAAACAACCUGCCCUGUCACUGGGGAUAAACUACCGAAAGGGAGUGUAAUACCGAAUGAGUCUCGAUGCCGGAGGGCAUUGAGAUAAAAGGCUGCAAGGCCGUGAUAGGAGGGGUUUGCGUCCCAUUAGCUAGUUGGUGGGGUAACGGCCUACCAAGGCGACGAUGGGUAGCUGGUCUGAGAGGAUGGUCAGCCACACUGGAACUGGGACACGGUCCAGACUCCUACGGGAGGCAGCAGUGAGGAAUAUUGCGCAAUGGCCGAAAGGCUGACGCAGCGACGCCGCGUGGGGGAUGACGGCCUUCGGGUUGUAAACCCCUGUCAGUGGGGAAGAAAAAAAUGACUGUACCCACAGAGGAAGCCCCGGCUAACUACGUGCCAGCAGCCGCGGUAAGACGUAGGGGGCGAGCGUUGUUCGGAAUUACUGGGCGUAAAGAGCUCGUAGGCUGGAAAUUAAGUCUUUGAAUAAAUCUCCCGGCUUAACCGGGAACAAUUUAGAGAUACUGAUUUUCUUGAGAACAGGAGAGGGGAAUGGAAUUCCUAGUGUAGCGGUGAAAUGCGUAGAUAUUAGGAGGAACACCAGUGGCGAAGGCGGUUCUCUGGCCUGUUUCUGACGCUGAGGAGCGAAAGCUGGGGGAGCGAACGGGAUUAGAUACCCCGGUAGUCCCAGCUGUAAACGAUGGAUACUAGGUGUAGGAGGUAUCGACCCCUUCUGUGCCGCAGUUAACACAAUAAGUAUCCCGCCUGGGGAGUACGGCCGCAAGGCUAAAACUCAAAGGAAUUGACGGGGGCCCGCACAAGCGGUGGAGCAUGUGGUUUAAUUCGACGCAACGCGAAGAACCUUACCUGGACUUGACAUCCC
rnacentral:rRNA from 1 species